UUCGAUGCAAAGCGAAGAACUUUACCAGGGCUUGACAUGCCGGAAUCCUCUUGAAAGAGAGGGGUGCCUUCGGGAACACGGACACAGGUGGUGCAUGGCUGUCGUCAGCUCGUGCGUAAGGUGUCGGGUUAAGUCCCGCAACGAGCGCAAUCCUCGUGUUUAGUUGCCAUCAUUGAGUUUAUACAUCAGGGACGAAGACAAGGCACAUAUCUUAAUACUUCAA
rnacentral:ncRNA from 1 species